GGUUUCCACACCUUAGGAAGCAAAUGGUAUUGCAGUUUCAGAAUUGGCAUAGCUAGUAUCAGAUUUGUGUUACAUAAAGUAGUAGUUAGUCCUAAACAAUUGCACACUGUAAUAGUGUAGUCCUAAACUACACUGACGAUAACAUAAAACUACUGCAACUUGGGCAACGGUGCAGUUGGCACCUCGUGGUCUCCGUCCCUUGCACGCUUAAUUAGUUGAAUAAUUAGUUUAACACUGCGAGAGCGUGCUGUGGGGCGCGUACUCCCAGGCGAACAGAC
rnacentral:lncRNA from 1 species